UACGUAGGGUGCGAGCGUUGUCCGGAAUUACUGGGCGUAAAGAGCUCGUAGGUGGUUUGUUGCGUUGUUCGUGAAAACCUGAGGCUUAACCUUGGGCGUGCGGGCGAUACGGGCAGACUGGAGUACUGCAGGGGAGACUGGAAUUCCUGGUGUAGCGGUGGAAUGCGCAGAUAUCAGGAGGAACACCGGUGGCGAAGGCGGGUCUCUGGGCAGUAACUGACGCUGAGGAGCGAAAGCGUGGGGAGCGAACAGG
rnacentral:rRNA from 1 species